rnacentral:rRNA from 1 species
AAUUUUGGACCAUGGGGGAAACCCUGAUCCAGCGAUCCCGCGUGUAUGAUGAAGGCCUNCGGGUUNUNAAGUACUUUUGGCCGUGNCGAGUAGGUACGUCCGAAUACGAGUUACUGCGUCCGGUAUCUGCAGAAGAAGCACCGGCUAACUACUUGCCAGCAGCCGCCGUAAUACGUAGGGUGCAAGCGUUAAUCGGCAUUACGGGGCCGAAAGCGUGUGUACGCGGUUCGGAAGGAAUGAUGUUAGAGCCCAGGGCUCAACCGUGGAACUGCAUUUUUAACUGCCGGGCUAGAGUAUGUCAGAGGGGGGUAGAAUUCCACGUGUAGCAGUGAAAUGCGUAGAUAUGUGGAGGAAUACAGAUAGCGAAGGCAGCCCCCUGGGAUAAUACUGACGCUCAGACACGAAAGCGUGGGGAGCAAACA